rnacentral:rRNA from 1 species
GAAUUCACUAGUGAUUCAGGCCUAACACAUGCAAGUCGAGCGGUAGAGAGAAGCUUGCUUCUCUUGAGAGCGGCGGACGGGUGAGUAAUGCCUAGGAAUCUGCCUGGUAGUGGGGGAUAACGUCCGGAAACGGACGCUAAUACCGCAUACGUCCUACGGGAGAAAGCAGGGGACCUUCGGGCCUUGCGCUAUCAGAUGAGCCUAGGUCGGAUUAGCUAGUUGGUGGGGUAAUGGCUCACCAAGGCGACGAUCCGUAACUGGUCUGAGAGGAUGAUCAGUCACACUGGAACUGAGACACGGUCCAGACUCCUACGGGAGGCAGCAGUGGGGAAUAUUGGACAAUGGGCGAAAGCCUGAUCCAGACAGGCCGCGUGU